CUGGGCGGAGCUCACAUUCAACGUUUCUUGGGUCUAAAUCUUCCGGGCAGCUGUCUACACUUUGGCUCAGGUACCAUCUGCUGACUUCCCACAUCAGAAGCAGAAUGAUCUUCAACCCAAGACACAGGCAAAGAGAGCAUCUAACUGCUUAAAAUGAGAGCAGGAAUGGCUGUUGGCUUAGAUAGAUGGCACCCCAGAGUCCUGAAAGAACUUGCAGAUGUGAUCACAGGACCAUCUGAACCGGAGAAACCGGGGGGAAUGGAGAGACAGCAAAAGACCGGAGAUGGGUAAAUGAGUUCCAGAUUUUCCAACACAACAGGAAAGGAAUAUGUGAGCAGGAGAGAAGGGUCAUGUUGGAGCAGCCAGGACUCAGAGCCUUUCCGCAGACUGAGUCUGGAUCCUUUCCUUCAGCCUCCAGGAAUACUCCCGGCUCCACACCCAGAAUGGUAAUCCAGGCAAGGGCUCUGGUGUGUGGCCACACUGCCACCUAUUACCUGCGGGUCCAAAUGCAGUGACUCAACUUCUCUGUGCCUCUCUUUCCACAUGUAUAAAAUGAGGAUAAUGUUGCUAUUGUAAGAAUUGCAUCAAUUAAUAAACAGCACUCAGUGAA
ensembl:lncRNA LINC01895 long intergenic non-protein coding RNA 1895